rnacentral:rRNA from 1 species
AAACCGUUCAGGGGUAAACCUGAGGAACCCGAAAGAUCGAAUGGGAAGAUUCAGCGUCAGCGGCGCUAACUCGGCGGAUCGUGCGUCGUCUCGGACUUCGGUCUUGGGACGCGUAAUCUUUCCAUGCCUUGUUUGGCGUCGUCGUCGUGCACUUCUCCCCUAGUAGAACGUCGCGACCCGUUGGGUGUCGGUCUACGGUCCGAGCGGUAGACUGUCGCGUCGCUUCGGCGCACGCGGCAGACCCUCGGUCACCCGGCCGGCUGCCCGGCGGUCGAACUUAUAAGGUAUCUUGCCGCAAUUAUCGAACUGCGUCGGGCCCGUCGCAAGCGAGGCCAGUGUCUUACGGAGUUACGGACCCGGUGCCGUACCCGUGGCUGGCCAGCUGUUGGCAGGCGGAGUCCUUUGACGGGCAAUACACAAUGAUACCGGUCUGCGACGCUACUGCUUUGGGUACUCUCAGGACCCGUCUUGAAACACGGACCAAGGAGUCUAACAUGUGCGCGAGUCAUUGGGACUCUAAAACCUAAAGGCGCAAUGAAAGUGAAGGUCGUACUAAGGUCGACCGAGGGAGGAUGGGCCGCGUUUACGCGCGGCUCCGCACUCCCGGGGCGUCUCGUUCUCAUUGCGAGAAGAGGCGCACCCAGAGCGUACACGUUGGGACCCGAAAGAUGGUGAACUAUGCCUGGUCAGGACGAAGUCAGGGGAAACCCUGAUGGAGGUCCGUAGCGAUUCUGACGUGCAAAUCGAUCGUCGGAACUGGGUAUAGGGGCGAAAGACUAAUCGA